UGCAAGUCGAACGGAGUCAAGAGAAGCUUGCUUUUCUUGACUUAGUGGCGAACGGGUGAGUAACGCGUGAGUAACCUGCCCUGGAGUGGGGGACAACAGUUGGAAACGACUGCUAAUACCGCAUAAGCCCACGGCCCGGCAUCGGGCUGAGGGAAAAGGAUUUAUUCGCUUCAGGAUGGACUCGCGUCCAAUUAGCUAGUUGGUGAGGUAACGGCCCACCAAGGCGACGAUUGGUAGCCGGACUGAGAGGUUGAACGGCCACAUUGGGACUGAGACACGGCCCAGACUCCUACGGGAGGCAGCAGUGGGGGAUAUUGCACAAUGGGGGAAACCCUGAUGCAGCGACGCCGCGUGGAGGAAGAAGGUUUUCGGAUUGUAAACCCCUGUCGUUAGGGACGAUAAUGACGGUACCUAACAAGAAAGCACCGGCUAACUACGUGCCAGCAGCCGCGGUAAAACGUAGGGUGCAAGCGUUGUCCGGAAUUACUGGGUGUAAAGGGAGCGCAGGCGGACCGGCAAGUUGGAAGUGAAAACUAUGGGCUCAACCCAUAAAUUGCUUUCAAAACUGCUGGCCUUGAGUAGUGCAGAGGUAGGUGGAAUUCCCGGUGUAGCGGUGGAAUGCGUAGAUAUCGGGAGGAACACCAGUGGCGAAGGCGACCUACUGGGCACCAACUGACGCUGAGGCUCGAAAGCAUGGGUAGCAAACAGGAUUAGAUACCCUGGUAGUCCAUGCCGUAAACGAUGAUUACUAGGUGUUGGAGGAUUGACCCCUUCAGUGCCGCAGUUAACACAAUAAGUAAUCCACCUGGGGAGUACGACCGCAAGGUUGAAACUCAAAGGAAUUGACGGGGGCCCGCACAAGCAGUGGAGUAUGUGGUUUAAUUCGAA
rnacentral:rRNA from 1 species